GUCCUUAGUUACCAGCACGUUAUGGUGGGCACUCUAAGGAGACUGCCGGUGACAAACCGGAGGAAGGUGGGGAUGACGUCAAGUCAUCAUGGCCCUUACGGCCUGGGCUACACACGUGCUACAAUGGUCGGUACAAAGGGUUGCCAAGCCGCGAGGUGGAGCUAAUCCCAUAAAAACCGAUCGUAGUCCGGAUCGCAGUCUGCAACUCGACUGCGUGAAGUUGGAAUCGCUAGUAAUCGUGGAUACAGCAUGCCACGGUGAAUACGUUCCCGGGCCUU
rnacentral:rRNA from 1 species